UACAGAGGAUGCAAGCGUUAUCCGGAAUGAUUGGGCGUAAAGCGUCCGCAGGUGGUUUUGUAAGUCUGCUGUUAAAGCGUUAGGCUCAACCUAAUAAGGGCAGUGGAAACUAUGGGACUAGAGUAUGUUAGGGGUAGAGGGAAUUCCCAGUGUAGCGGUGAAAUGCGUAGAGAUUGGGAAGAACACCGGUGGCGAAAGCGCUCUGCUAGGACAAUACUGACACUGAGGGACGAAAGCUAGGGGAGCGAAUGGG
rnacentral:rRNA from 1 species